AUUGAACGCUGGCGGCAUGCCUUACACAUGCAAGUCGAACGGCAGCACGGGGCAACCCGGUGGCGAGUGGCGAACGGGUGAGUAAUGCAUCGGAACGUACCUUUCAGUGGGGGAUAACGUAGCGAAAGUUACGCUAAUACCGCAUAUUCUGUGAGCAGGAAAGCAGGGGAUCGCAAGACCUCGCGCUGAUUGAGCGGCCGAUGUCUGAUUAGCUAGUUGGUGAGGUAAAGGCUCACCAAGGCGACGAUCUGUAGCGGGUCUGAGAGGAUGAUCCGCCACACUGGAACUGAGACACGGUCCAGUCUCCUACGGGAGUCAGCAGUGGGGAAUGGUGGACAAUGGGGGCAACCCUGAUCCAGCCAUGCCGCGUGAGUGAAGAAGGCCUUCGGGUUGUGAAGCUCUGUCGGCCGGGAAGAAAUCGCACGGGCUAAUACCCUGUGUGGAUGACGGUACCGGAAUAAGAAGCACCGGCUAACUACGUGCCAGCCGCCGCAGUAAAAC
rnacentral:rRNA from 1 species